ACCCUUAUCCUUGUUUGCCAGCACGUAAUGGUGGGAACUCCAGGGAGACUGCCGGUGAUAAACCGGAGGAAGGUGGGGACGACGUCAAGUCAUCAUGGCCCUUACGAGUAGGGCUACACACGUGCUACAAUGGCGUAUACAGAGGGCUGCCAACCAGCGAUGGUGAGCGAAUCCCAGAAAGUACGUCGUAGUCCGGAUUGGAGUCUGCAACUCGACUCCAUGAAGUCGGAAUCGCUAGUAAUCGUGAAUCAGAAUGUCACGGUGAAUACGUUCCCGGGCCUUGUACACACCGCCCGUCACACCAUGGGAGUGGGCUGCACCAGAAGUAGAUAGCUUAACCUUCGGGAGGGCGUUUACCACGGUGUGGUUCAUGACUGGGGUGAAGUCGUAACAAGGUAGCCCUAGGGGAACCUGGGGCUGGAUCACCUCCUUACCUAA
rnacentral:rRNA from 1 species